GUGGAUUCUGCAUUGAAAAUCUAUUAAUGGUUUUGUAUUUCUAAUUUGAGUUCCAGAAGUACGCCCUUUGAUGAACUAGAAUGUGUAGAAAGACCAGAAUGACACAGUUGUAAGAGGUGUAUACAUAUCUUAUGAAUAUAAUAUAUAAAGUUACAUAUGUUAGUUAAAAUCCAAUUUUAGUUAAAGCAAUUAUCAACAUAUU
rnacentral:lncRNA from 1 species